UACAGAGGUCUCAAGCGUUUGUUCGGAUUCAUUGGGCGUAAAGGGUGUGUAGGUGGCGCUGUAAGUCGGGUGUGAAAUUUCGGAGCUUAACUCCGAAACUGCAUUCGAUACUGCGGUGCUUGAGGACUGGAGAGGAGACUGGAAUUCAUGGUGUAGCAGUGAAAUGCGUAGAGAUCAUGAGGAAGACCAGUGGCGAAGGCGGCAUCCUGGACCGACAUUGACGCUGAUGAGCGAAAGCUAGGGGAGCAAACGGG
rnacentral:rRNA from 1 species